rnacentral:ncRNA from 2 species
UAACACCACAAGGGGGGCCUUUUGGCUGAGAGUGGACUGCUGUGUCCUAACCCUUCGAACCUGUAAGUUUAUACUUGCGUAGGGAUGUGGAUGGAAAAGUAU